rnacentral:sRNA from 1 species
GCCAGGCGUGGUGGCUCACUCCUGUAAUCCCAGCACCUUGGGAGGCUGAGGUGGGUGGAUCACCUGAGGUCAGGAGUUCAAGACCAGCCUGGCCAACAUGGUGAAAUCCCAUCUCUA